rnacentral:rRNA from 1 species
UAGGGAAUCUUCGGCAAUGGGGGGAACCCUGACCGAGCAACGCCGCGUGAGUGAAGAAGGUUUUCGGAUCGUAAAGCUCUGUUGUUAAGGAAGAACGAGUGUGAGAAUGGAAAGUUCAUACUGUGACGGUACUUAACCAGAAAGGGACGGCUAACUACGUGCCAGCAGCCGCGGUAAUACGUAGGUCCCGAGCGUUGUCCGGAUUUAUUGGGCGUAAAGCGAGCGCAGGCGGUUAGAUAAGUCUGAAGUUAAAGGCAGUGGCUCAACCAUUGUAGGUUUUGGAAACUGUUUAACUUGAGUGCAGAAGGGGAGAGUGGAAUUCCAUGUGUGGCGGUGAAUGGGUUAGAUAUCUGGCGGACCACCGGUGAGGAAAGCGGCGCUCUGGUCUGUAAAUGACGCUGAGGCUCGAAGGCGUGGGAGCGAACAGG